rnacentral:rRNA from 1 species
UACGGAGGGUGCAAGCGUUAAUCGGAAUUACUGGGCGUAAAGCGUGCGCAGGCGGUUUGUUAAGUCCGUUGUGAAAGCCCCGAGCUCAACUUGGGAAUUGCAGUGGAUACUGGCAGGCUGGAGUACGGUAGAGGAAGGUGGAAUUCCCGGUGUAGUGGUGAAAUGCGUAGAUAUCGGGAGGAACACCAGUGGCGAAGGCGACUACCUGGCCCACUCUUGACGCUGAGGCGCGAAAGCUAGGGGAGCGAACGGG